rnacentral:ncRNA from 1 species
CAUCGUGAGGUGGAAUCUUGAAUAAGCCUAAGGAAAACUAUAGACCUGACGAACAGAAAUCGCACAUAAGGCACAUACAGGAUGCUAAAGCAGGCCCAACAAGACAAAGUCCAAUACUGCCUUGCAUUUUGAGAUGUAAAUGCGGCAGAUAUAUA